GCUCCCUCCCUAGAUCUUCCAUCCAGGAUAGUCCUGGAAAUGAUCUUGAUGCUAUCUGUUCCUCGUUACAGCAGACCUGCUCAACUUCAGCAGCUAGAAGGAGGAUUGUCUUUCACCAGCUGCAGGAGCCUGUUCCCACUACAAGCCUGGUGGAGUCUUCGGAGCAGAUGUGACUGUCCUACUUGUAUAGAGAAGAGAAACUGAGGCUCAGAAGAGAUGCCUGGCUGAGUUUAAUAGGACUGCAACAACAAUUUUGCCUUUCUACUUUCUGACCGUUUGCAAAGAAAUUUCCUAAACAUCACCACUGAGGCUCCUUCCAGCAAUGACUCUGGUCCAUCAUUGGGAUUGCUGAGCAGCUGUUUCAUAACAUGAACAAGGAUGUUUUAACCAUGUUUCUUGACCUGGCCAUUUGGAUCCCAAGGAUGUUUUGGUCCAAGAAUAAAUUCCAGAGCUUAGCUCACCGAAGAAGACAGGAAAACUUGUCAGAUGGGGAAGGAUGUGUCAAGAGCAUGCACACAGAUUUACUCUUCAGCUAGAAGCUCCAAUUCCUAGAUGAUCUGAAUCCAACUCAGAGUGCUUGCACCUGUUUCCUGCCACACAGCUAGAGCUGUCCAGUGAGAGAGACAUGAUGGCCCAGCUUGAAAAAGAAAUUGAGGAUAGCAAGUGUAACAUACCAAGCAUUCCACGAGCAGUGUCCCUCUAGGUUCUCUGAUUGGCUGAAGCUACUCUAAGCCAAGAGAUCAAAGAAGCUGAUAAUGUAGAAUGUAAGUUUGUCUCCUGGGCCACAAUGGAAAGCAGAGACUGUAGCUGGAGGAGUGAAUAGAGGAUAUGCAGCUCUGGUAAUUCUCAGUACAAUUCCCAGUGGUCCACUCUGCAGAAUGAACCAAGUUCCAUUUUGCCCAACUUCUGGCAGUCCACAUUUGGACUGUGAGCUCACCUACAGAUAAAUCGUACGUGGAUUGAUGCAGUAACUGGAUUUGUAGCUGCUAAAUCUUAUUUAAGUGAGGACCUGUCCAGUACAUGUGAAGACCACCCAUCCACUGAAAGUGAUAAGUGAAGCUGAAUCAAUACUAGACUGAAUCAAUACUGAGCUGAAUCAAUACUUUCCCAAUUUUGAGGAAAUCUUGGAAAAUCUCUGAGAAAUGUGGUAGUAAUUAUUUUGAAGAAUUGGAAAACUUUAUAGCUGAUUAUGCUAUGUGUGGAAGAUACAACAGGAUUAUAAGAGAGAGAAGACAAUAUCCUUGCUGUGUCCAGAAGGCUUUAGCCGGGGUGUCCUACUGAGAGAUGACAAACUUAAGGUUUUUCUCUUCCCAGACAUUACUGGACAACUAGCUAUGUAAUUAGGUCUUAUGCCGAAAAGACUGAAAGGAAAACAUCUCAGAUCUAGGAAUGUGAUCAAGAAAGAAGGCUGGUUAAAGAAUAACAUGGGGAAAAUGAAUGCAGUGAAAUGGUUCACGCACAAGUUCUAGGAAUUCAGAGUGCAACAGCAGAAAUGCGAUUUUUGUUAGAUAUUUCAGAAAGUGAUGUGAGUCCCUGAGGUCAUACUGCAGCGUUCAGGUUCUGUUUGGCCUCCUGCACGAAGCUUUCCUUGAUUGGAAAAGCUGCAUACUCUGAAGCACAUCGCAUGUGUCCUGUCUGUAGUUCAUUUCAUUUCCCCAGAUUUGUUAUCAUCCACCAUCACUCAUACAAGCCUACCUUCUUCAUGCCAACCUUUGUAAUCUUUCUACCUUGCUAACCUGGUCAUGUCAAGGACCAGCUAAUAAAUAGCAAAGUUGUACCUUGAGCCAAGGUAUCUUGACUCUUAGUCCAGUGCUCUUUAUAUACCUCUGAAGUCUUAUUUGAGCUUCAAAAUUAUGAGUCUGUGCUCUCAAGAUUUUUUUGAAAAUGUACUUAAUGUUGCCCCUAAGCUUUUAUGAGAAAUAAUAAAGUUCUUUCCAGAUUG
ensembl:lncRNA novel transcript